rnacentral:rRNA from 1 species
CACACCGCCCGUUACACCAUGGGAGUUGGUUUCACCCGAAGGCAGUGCGCUAACCGCAAGGAGGCAGCUGACCACGGUGGGAUCAGCGACUGGGGUG